rnacentral:rRNA from 1 species
UAGGGAAUCUUCCACAAUGGACGAAAGUCUGAUGGAGCAACGCCGCGUGAGUGAAGAAGGGUUUCGGCUCGUAAAACUCUGUUGUUAGAGAAGAACAGCCGUGAGAGCAACUGCUCACGGUAUGACGGUAUCUAACCAGAAAGUCACGGCUAACUACGUGCCAGCAGCCGCGGUAAUACGUAGGUGGCAAACGUUGUCCGGAUUUAUUGGGCGUAAAGGGAGCGCAGGCGGUUUAUUAAGUCUGAUGUGAAAGCCUUCGGCUUAACCGGAGAAGUGCAUCGGAAACUGAUAAACUUGAGUGCAGAAAAGGAUAGUGGAACUUCAUGUGUAGCGGUGAAAUGCGUAGAUAUAUGAAGGAACACCAGUGGCGAAGGCGGCUAUCUGGUCUGUAACUGACGCUGAGGCUCGAAAGCAUGGGUAGCAAACAGGA